ACUGGGUAAUCUUGAGAGCGCAUCGUGAUAGGGAUAGAUUCUUGCAACUAUUGACUUGAACGAGGAAUUCCUAGUAAACGCGAGUCAUCAGCUCGCAUUGAUUACGUCCCUGCCCUUUGUACACACCGCCCGUCGCACCUACCGAUUGAACGAUUCGGUGAAGCUUUCGGACCGCGCCGUUGGCUUCUAGCCGGCGAUGCGGGAAGUUAUCUAAACCUCAUCGUUUAGAGGAAGGUGAAGUCGUAACAAGGUUUCCGUAGGUGAACCUGCGGAAGGAUCA
rnacentral:rRNA from 1 species